CUGCUGAAGGGACUGCAGGUUCUCCACCACUGGAGAUCUUAAUAACUAAGAUUGUUUUUCUCAGAGAUACGUGAUUCAACCACAGAUGGUUCAGUGUGGCCUGGAAAUGGACUUCAACCAGGAUGGUCCUAAGGAGACCAAGUGAGAAAAAUGUGAUCCUGGCAGGAGUGAGGCAGGAGCGCUGGGAUGGCACUUGGUGAGUGAUGGUCUACUGUUAGGCCAUCCUACUUUGCAACUCAGGAGUGGCUAUUUUGCCUCGCUCACAAAAACCGCGUAUGAAGCCUCCAGGUCCUGGGUUGCAGCCCUUCCCCAGGAGCCCCUCACGCUGAUGUUGGGCAGAUGCGGCCAAAAGCUGUUGUUAGGAAUGAGAUGAAAGCAGCAGAGAAAAAGGUCCCCCUUUGUUUCUGAUUUACUUUAGCAAUUAUCUCUAAGUAGGACUGCGAUGCUGCAAACCCGAGGUGUUCUUCUGCCUGCCGAAAAGCCACUAAAUCUUGGAAACUAACCAUGAAAUCUAAUAACAGAACAGAACGGAGACAUUAGCCGCAGCAACAGUUUCUUAGAAAAGGUGCGGUGGAAACCUCAAGUGCAAACGAGCUCUUUGCUCAGAGAUGACGCGGUGAUGAAUGCCAGGCUACCGCGGGGUGUUCUCUUUGUGAUUAUCUCACGGAUCACACAAUAAAUGGCAAAGUGUUAUAAUAUGACA
rnacentral:lncRNA from 1 species